AUUCUGCCCAUGCGGGGAAGGAUGAGAAGCUUCGACCAAGGUUCGACUCGAGCGCCAAUGAGAGAGCGUUGCCGCAGGCAACGACCCG
rnacentral:sRNA from 1 species